rnacentral:rRNA from 1 species
GAUGAACGCUAGCGGCAGGCUUAACACUUGCAAGUCGAGGGGCAGCACGGAAGUGGUAACACUUUCGGUGGCGACCGGCGGUCGGGUGCGUAACGCGUAUGCAACCUUCCGACAACUUGGGGUUAACGGAUGGAAACGUCCACUACUACCUGAUAAUAUUAUUGGAGGCAUCUUCGGUGCUUGAAAGCAUCUUGGGUUAUGCUCGGCAUGCGUAACAUUAGUUAGUUGGUGGGGUAACGGCUCACAAAGGCUACGAUGUUUAGGGGGACUGAGAGGUAGACCCCCCACACUGGAACUGAGACACGUUCCAAACUCCUACGGGACGCAGCAGUGAGGAAUAUUGGUCAAUGGGCGAAAGCCUGAACCAGCCAUGCCGAGUGCAGGAAGACGGCUCUAUGAGUUGUAAACUGCUUUUAUACGAGGGUAAUUGCGCGCACGUGUGCGUGUUUGAAAGUAUCGUAUGAAUAAGGAUCGGCUAACUCCGUGCCAGCCGCCGCGGUAA